UGAACGCUGGCGGCGUGCCUAAUACAUGCAAGUCGAGCGAACAGACGAGGAGCUUGCUCCUCUUACGUUAGCGGCGGACGGGUGAGUAACACGUGGAUAACCUACCUAUAAGACUGGGAUAACUUCGGGAAACCGGAGCUAAUACCGGAUAAUAUAUUGAACCGCAUGGUUCAAUAGUGAAAGACGGUUUUGCUGUCACUUAUAGAUGGAUCCGCGCCGCAUUAGCUAGUUGGUAAGGUAACGGCUUACCAAGGCAACGAUGCGUAGCCGACCUGAGAGGGUGAUCGGCCACACUGGAACUGAGACACGGUCCAGACUCCUACGGGAGGCAGCAGUAGGGAAUCUUCCGCAAUGGGCGAAAGCCUGACGGAGCAACGCCGCGUGAGUGAUGAAGGUCUUCGGAUCGUAAAACUCUGUUAUUAGGGAAGAACAAAUGUGUAAGUAACUAUGCACGUCUUGACGGUACCUAAUCAGAAAGCCACGGCUAACUACGUG
rnacentral:rRNA from 1 species